UACGAGGGGGGCAAGCGUUGUUCGGAUUUAUUGGGUUUAAAGGGUGCGUAGGCGGCCUAUUAAGUCAGGGGUGAAAGACGGUAGCUUAACUAUCGCAGUGCCCUUGAUGCUGAUGGGCUUGAAUACACUAGAGGUAGGCGGAAUGUGACAAGUAGCGGUGAAAUGCAUAGAUAUGUCACAGAACACCAAUUGCGAAGGCAGCUUACUAUGGUGCGAUUGACGCUGAGGCACGAAAGCGUGGGGAUCAAACAGG
rnacentral:rRNA from 1 species